rnacentral:tRNA from 1 species
UGGGGCUUCGUCUAGCGGCAGGACAUCGCGCUUUGAACGCGAGAAGCCAGGUUCGAAUCCUGGAGCCCCAGCCA